rnacentral:rRNA from 1 species
UGGGGAAUCUUGCUCAAUGGGGGAAACCCUGAUGCAGCGACGCCGCGUGAGCGAUGAAGGUUUUCGGAUCGUAAAGCUCUGUCCUAUGGGAAGAUAAUGACGGUACCAUGGGAGGAAGCCCCGGCUAACUACGUGCCAGCAGCCGCGGUAAUACGUAGGGGGCGAGCGUUGUCCGGAAUUACUGGGCGUAAAGGGUUCGCAGGCGGCAUGGCAAGUCCGAUGUAAAAGGCGAAGGCUCAACCUUCGUAAGCAUCGGAAACUGUCAAGCUUGAGUGAAGGAGAGGCAAGUGGAAUUCCUAGUGUAGCGGUGGAAUGCGUAGAUAUUAGGAGGAAUACCGGUGGCGAAGGCGACUUGCUGGACUUCAACUGACGCUGAGGAACGAAAGCGUGGGUAGCAAACAGG